GACGAACGCUGGCGGCGUGCUUAACACAUGCAAGUCGAACGGAAAGGCCCUGCUUUUGUGGGGUGCUCGAGUGGCGAACGGGUGAGUAACACGUGGGUAACCUGCCCUUGACUUUAGGAUAACUUCAGGAAACUGGGGCUAAUACCGGAUAGGAGCUCCUGCUGCAUGGUGGGGGUUGGAAAGUUUCGGCGGUUGGGGAUGGACUCGCGGCUUAUCAGCUUGUUGGUGGGGUAGUGGCUUACCAAGGCUUUGACGGGUAGCCGGCCUGAGAGGGUGACCGGCCACAUUGGGACUGAGAUACGGCCCAGACUCCUACGGGAGGCAGCAGUGGGGAAUAUUGCACAAUGGGCGGAAGCCUGAUGCAGCAACGCCGCGUGCGGGAUGACGGCCUUCAGGUUGUAAACCGCUUUCGCCUGUGACGAAGCGUGAGUGACGGUAAUGGGUAAAGAAGCACCGGCUAACUACGUG
rnacentral:rRNA from 1 species